GGCAAAUUAUAUCUAAAUGGCAGUAAAUUCUAUUUAAUCUAUUCUGUUCUUUUUCUAAAUAUGAAGCUGUUUAUAUGUACCACAAGGGUGCAGCAGUAGGCUAACUAAAGAACUGCAGAACUUCACAAAACUAUUCAAUACAAAGUCUGCUGUCUAUAGAGUUCAUUCAAGAGAGUACGGGCUUGUUCAUGGCUCGGUUUUCUUCUGUUUAAACAUGACAUGAGUUUUAACGUGGAAUUUUAUAACUUACAAAAUAUCUGAAUGUCGCAAUCAGGGCUACAGAUUUGUUGGUGCGUUGCGCGGAAGUCAUCAGCAUCCUCAGAGUCGCUGCUUUCACUUCCAUCCACUUCACGAGUGGACGCGUCUGAGAGCAGUUGAUCUCUGUGACAAGAUCUCUAAACUUCAGCUGCUCAUCAGAUAUGCAAGAUGAGAAGAUUACUUGGAAUUCUUGUACUUUUGAAAUACUGCAUUUGCGGUGAUGUGCAAGACUUCGAUGGAGACAUCAAGAACUUUGUAGUUGGUAACAGUAAGUUAUUUGUUCUGACUGAUCAUCGACUACAUCAGAUGAGACACGAUCUUUAUGAAGAGAAGAGGAAAGACAUCACUAAUGCCACUGAACACAACAGAGUCAACAUCCUGGUGCCUUUUGUCGCCAACGGCACCUUGAUAACGUGUGGGACUUUAAAAGAUGGAUAUUGUGAGGUUCUUGAUAUAAAUGACAUUACAAACAGUAUUUACUAUGAAAGUAAUAUACUGAUAGGACCGCGACAGGAUGAGAAAUCUGUUGCCUUCAUAGCCGGUACAAGUAGCAGUAGGUACCUUUUGGUUGGGAAAAAAGACGACGAUGCAAAACCUCAAGAUACCAGCUAUUCUGUUGUUAUCUUGUGGAACACUUUACAGUCUCAAGCAGGUGGGAUUUUCUCAAAAAUAGCAGAAGGAUCAGAUGCCAGCAUUCAGAGCACUGUGAGAGAUGUGGAGUUUGUUGAUGGAUUCCAGAGAGUUUCACCCUCAGAAUCAUACUUAUUUCUCAACGCAAAGACUGACUCAGAGAGGAAAGUGCUCGUCCUGUGGAUGAACAGCUCUAAAGAAAAAAAGAUAGACAUCUUCAAAUCCCUAAAGGCUGCAACGAUACGAUGCUGCAGUGAUAAAGCUCGUCCGGUGCUCGUCGCCUGCACCGUUAUUCCCUCAGUGAACGGAGUUAUUUGGGCAGGUGUGUUCAGUGCACAGAAUCAGCAGGAUCCGGAGAACAGCGCGCUGGCUCUGUACGACAUCAGUAAUGUUAAAGGACGAGUGAAGGGCUUCUGCGCUAUUGGUGAAAAGCCGUCUGUGUUUCAGGGUGAUACUGAACUUCAGCCGCUCUCUGUGGUGUUCAAGUACAGCUCAAUGUCAGCAGUGGCAGCAGUUAGAAGUGGAUCCUGGAUUGUGUUGUUCAUAGGAACCAGUGAUGGCCAACUCAUAAAGCUUGUUUUGGAUGAGAAAUUCACUCCAGGCUGUCCAAUAGUGCUGUUCAAAUCUGAUGAUGAGCGAGCAGUGCUUCCCAGAAUGCACUUUGAUCCAGUAGAUUUCAAACAUAUUUACAUCGCUCUAAAGAAACAGGUGAAGUUUACAAAUGUCCAGUUAACAAACAAUAAAAACAUUGUAUAUAGUAUAUAUACUACUAUAGCAGAAACAUCAUAA
ensembl:lncRNA